GACGAACGCUGGCGGCGUGCUUAACACAUGCAAGUCGAACGGACAGACCCUGCUUUUGUGGGGUGCUCGGGUGGCGAACGAGUGAGUAACACGCGCGUAACUUGCCUUUGCCUUUGGGAUAACUUACGGACACAGGGGCUAACACCGGACGGGUGCUCCCGCUGCUCGGCGGGGGUUGGAAAGUUUCGGCGGUUGGGGAUGGACUGACGGCUUAUCAGCUUGUCGGUGGGGUAGUGGCUUACCGAUGCUUUGACGGGUAGCCGGCCUGAGAGGGUGACCGGCGACAUGGGGACUAGAAUACGACCGGAGCUCGUACGGGGGGCAACAGUACAGAGGAUGACAGAAUGGGCGAGAGACGGAGCCAGCGAGACCGCGUGCGUGGGGACGGCCUUCUGGUUGGAAACCGCUUUCGCCUGGGACUGAGCGGGAGUGACGGUAGUGGGUAAAGAAGCGCCGGCUAACUACGUG
rnacentral:rRNA from 1 species